rnacentral:lncRNA from 1 species
CCAGAAAAUCUUGAGAAGAUUUCUCUCAAUCUAAAUGAAGCUUGUCCAGCUAAAAAAAAUCUUGUCUUAAUUCAUGAGAUGAAUUUAAGACAAUACCUGCUAAUUCCUGUCACCUGCCAUUUUCAUUUUAGAAAAUCUAUCAAAUGUUGACAUAUGGGUCUUAAACUGAAGGUCACUUGGUAAGAGCUCAUUAGAAAAUUUUUAUGG